AUUGAACGCUGGCGGCAGGCUUAACACAUGCAAGUCGAGCGGGGUGAUGGUGCUUGCACUAUCACUUAGCGGCGGACGGGUGAGUAAUGCUUAGGAAUCUGCCUAUUAGUGGGGGACAACAUCUCGAAAGGGAUGCUAGUACCGCAUACGUCCUACGGGAGAAAGCAGGGGAUCACUUGUGACCUUGCGCUAAUAGAUGAGCCUAAGUCGGAUUAGCUAGUUGGUGGGGUAAAGGCCUACCAAGGCGACGAUCUGUAGCGGGUCUGAGAGGAUGAUCCGCCACACUGGGACUGAGACACGGCCCAGACUCCUACGGGAGGCAGCAGUGGGGAAUAUUGGACAAUGGGGGGAACCCUGAUCCAGCCAUGCCGCGUGUGUGAAGAAGGCCUUAUGGUUGUAAAGCACUUUAAGCGAGGAGGAGGCUCUCUUGGUUAAUACCCAAGACGAGUGGACGUUACUCGCAGAAUAAGCACCGGCUAACUCUGUGCCAGCCGCCGCCGUAA
rnacentral:rRNA from 1 species